GACGAACGCUGGCGGCGUGCCUAAUACAUGCAAGUUGAGCGCUGAAGGUUGGUACUUGUACCGACUGGAUGAGCAGCGAACGGGUGAGUAACGCGUGGGUAAUCUGCCUUUGAGCGGGGGACAACAUUUGGAAACGAAUGCUAAUACCGCAUAAAAACUUUAAACACAAGUUUUAAGUUUGAAAGAUGCAAUUGCAUCACUCAAAGAUGAUCCCGCGUUGUAUUAGCUAGUUGGUGAGGUAAAGGCUCACCAAGGCGAUGAUACAUAGCCGACCUGAGAGGGGGGACGGCCAAAAUGGGACUGGGACACGGCCCAAACUCCUACGGGGAGCAGCAGUAGGGAAACUUCGGCAAAGGACGAAAGUCUGACCGAGCAACGCCGCGUGAGGGAAGAAGGUUGUCGGAUCGUAAAACUCUGUUGGUAGGGAAGAACGUUGGUGAGAGUGGAAAGCUCAUCAAGUGACGGUAACUACCCAGAAAGGGACGGCUAACUACGUG
rnacentral:rRNA from 1 species